rnacentral:rRNA from 1 species
AGACAGGUGGUGCAUGGUUGCCGUCAGCUCGUGUCGUGAGAUGUUGGGUUAAGUCCCGCAACGAGCGCAACCCUUGUGUUUAGUUGCAAACAGGUCAAGCUGUGCACUCUAGACAGACUGCCGUGGACAACACGGAGGAAGGUGGGGAUGACGUCAAAUCAUCAUGCCCCUUAUGAUCUGGGCUACACACGUGCUACAAUGGCCGGUACAACGGGCAGCGAAGGAGCGAUCCGGAGCGAAUCCUAAAAAGCCGGUCCCAGUUCGGAUUGCAGGCUGAAACUCGCCUACAUGAAGUUGGAGUUGCUAGUAAUCGCGAAUCAGAAUGUCGCGGUGAAUGCGUUCCCGGGUCUU